rnacentral:rRNA from 1 species
UGGGGAAUUGUUCGCAAUGGGCGCAAGCCUGACGACGCAACGCCGCGUGGAGGAUGAAGACCUUCGGGUCGUAAAGCUCUUUUGUCAGGGAAGAAACGGUAGUAGCGAAUAACUAUUACUAAUGACGGUACCUGAAGAAUAAGCACCGGCUAACUACGUGCCAGCAGCCGCGGUAAUACGUAGGGUGCAAGCGUUAAUCGGAAUUACUGGGCGUAAAGCGUGCGCAGGCGGUUGUGUAAGUCAGAUGUGAAAUCCCCGGGCUCAACCUGGGAAUUGCAUUUGAGACUGCACGGCUAGAGUGUGUCAGAGGGGGGUAGAAUUCCACGUGUAGCAGUGAAAUGCGUAGAUAUGUGGAGGAAUACCGAUGGCGAAGGCAGCCCCCUGGGAUAACACUGACGCUCAUGCACGAAAGCGUGGGGAGCAAACAGGAUUAGAUACCCACGUAGUCCCUGAGCGGGCUGGCAAGGCGCAU